rnacentral:rRNA from 1 species
UACGUAGGGGGCAAGCGUUGUCCGGAAUCAUUGGGCGUAAAGAGCGUGUAGGCGGCCCGAUAAGUCCGCCGUGAAAGUCCAGGGCUCAACCCUGGAAUGCCGGUGGAAACUGUCGGGCUGGAGUCCGGAAGAGGCGAGUGGAAUUCCCGGUGUAGCGGUGAAAUGCGCAGAUAUCGGGAGGAACACCUAUGGCGAAGGCAGCUCGCUGGGACGGUACUGACGCUGAGACGCGAAAGCGUGGGGAGCAAACAGG